rnacentral:rRNA from 1 species
CGCGUAGGCGGUUUUACAAGUCAGAUGUGAAAGCCCAUGGCUCAACCAUGGACGUGCAUUUGAAACUGUAAGACUUGAGUAUUGGAGGGGUGGUGGAAUUCCCGGUGUAGAGGUGAAAUUCGUAGAUAUCGGGAGGAAUACCAGUGGCGAAGGCGACCACCUGGCCAAAUACUGACGCUCAUGUGCGAAAGCGUGGGGAGCAAAACA